rnacentral:rRNA from 1 species
CAGUCGCCGCGGUAAUACGUAGGGUGCAAGCGUUAAUCGGAAUUACUGGGCGUAAAGCGUUCGCAGGCGGUUAUAUAAGACAGAUGUGAAAUCCCCGGGCUCAACCUGGGAACUGCAUUUGUGACUGUAUAGCUAGAGUACGGCAGAGGGGGAUGGAAUUCCGCGUGUAGCAGUGAAAUGCGUAGAUAUGCGGAGGAACACCGAUGGCGAAGGCAAUCCCCUGGGCCUGUACUGACGCUCAUGCACGAAAGCGUGGGGAGCAAACAGGAUUAGAUACCCGCGUAGUCCCUGUCUCUUAUAC